GACGAACGCUGGCGGCGCGCUUAACACAUGCAAGUCGAGCGAAGCGGCGGACGGGUGAGUAAAACGUGAGAAACCGGCCUUAGACAUGGGGAUAGCCUCGGGAAACGGGGAUUAAUACAAAAGGGUCUAAGUGGGACUGGCGUCCCAUUAGCUAGUUGGUGGGUAACGGCCCACCAAGGCGACGAUGGGUAGCCGGCCUGUGAGGGUGAACGGCCACAUUGGAACUGAGAAACGUUCCAAACUCUCCGGGAGGCAGCAGUGGGGAAUAUUGCACAAUGGAGGGAACUCUGAUGCAGCGACGCCGCGUGAACGAAGAAGGCUUUCGAGUCGUAAAGUUCUUUUAUAUGGGAAGCGGUACCAUAAGAAAAAGCCCCGGCUAACUACGUGCCAGCAGCCGCGGUAAUAC
rnacentral:rRNA from 1 species